CCGAAUGACAAGCACUUCUUCAAGGUGACUGAUGAGUCUGCCUUGAAGGACAUUGUGGACGCGCGUGGGGAUAGGAUCUUCAGUUUGGAAGGUAUUCCUAUAAUGCUGUAAAACAGCCAUCUGUAAACCACAACUAGACCCAACUCAUUUCCUUUUCCUGUUCUCAAAAGAAAAUAAUUCCUCCUGCUGAACUCACCUGGUCUUCCUCUACAGGGACCAGUAAGAACGGGACAGCCUUCGGCCUCCAGAUGUCUCAGGCUGGCUUCUUCUCACACUUCGUGGAGGAUGGGAUCCUGGUGGGGGCACCGGGGGCCUACGACUGGAAUGGAGCCGUCCUGAAGGAGACCCGACAGGGGAAGGUGGUUCCACCCAAGUCCUCCUACUCACAGGAAUUCCCAGAGGAGCUGAAGAACCACGGCGCCUACCUAGGUGAGGGAGGAAUUGACGAUCUAAAGGAUUGGUCACAGAGGGGUUUGGUUUGGGUAGAGCUAUAGACUCCUCUCCCUGAUCCUCUCUUUGCCCUUCAUCCUCUGUCCACCAUCCUCUCUCUGUCCUUCAUCCUCUCUCUGUCCUUCAUCCUCUCUCUGUCCUUCAUCUUCUCUCUGUUCUUCAUCCUCUCUCUGUUACUCAUCCUCUCUCUGUUACUCAUCCUCUCUCUGUUCCUCAUCCUCUCUCUGUUCCUCAUCCUCUCUCUGUUCCUCAUCCUUUCCCUGUCCUUCUGUCUCUCUCUGUCCCUCAUCCUCUCUCUGUCCAUCAUUCUCUCUCUGUCUUUCAUCCUCUCUCUGACCCUCAUCCACUCUCUGACCCUCAUCCUCUCUCUGACCUUCAGCCUCUCUCUGUCCUUCAGUCUCUCUCUGUACUUCAGCCCCCUUCUGUCCUUCAGCCUCUCCAUGUCCUUCAGCCUCUCUCUGUCCUCUCUCUGUCCCUCAUCCUCUCUCUGUCUCUUCAUCUUUACUGUCUCUACAGUCUACUGUUCACCAUCUCAUCUCCUCUCUCUUCAUCUUUACUGUCUCUACAGUCUACUGUUCACCAUCUCAUCUCCCUCUCUCUUCAUCUUAAUGUCUCUACAGUCUACUGUUCACCAUCUCAUCUCCUCUCUCUCAUCUUUACUGUCUCUACAGUCUACGUUUCACCAUCUCAUCUCCUCUCUCUUCAUCUUUACUGUUCUACAGUCUACUGUUUCACAUCUCAUCUCCCUCUCUCUCCAUCUUCUUUUUUACUGUCCUACAUUCUACUGUUCACCAUCUCAUCCCUCUCUCCUCUCUCUCUUCAUCUUUACUGUCUCUAUAGUCUACUGUUCACCACUCAUCUCCUCUCUUCUCUCCAUCUUUACUGUCUCUACAGUCUACUGUUCACCAUCUCCUCUCCUCUCUCUCUCUCAUCUUACUGUCUCUACCUACUAUUUUUCACCAGUCUCUCCAUCUCCUCUCUCUCUCUCAUCGUUACUGUCUCUAAUAGUCACUGUUCACCAUCUCAUCUUCCUCUCUCUCUCUUCUCUUUAUCGUUUACUGUCUCUAAGCUACGGUUCACCAUCUCAUCUCCUCUCUCUCACUUUACUGUCUAGUACAGUCUACUGUUCACCAUCUCAUCUCCUCUCUCUCUCCAUCUUACUGUCUACUACG
rnacentral:lncRNA from 1 species